rnacentral:tRNA from 1 species
GGCCCUAUCGUCUAUCGGUUAGGACGGCUGCUUUUCAAGCAGCAAAGCGCGGUCCGACUCCGCGUAGGGUCA